AUGAUGUUUGGGAGCCACCCCUCCCCAGCAAGCGCUCUCGCAGAGGACCUAAUCAAAAGGUCGGCCUCCCAGUCGGCCUUCCGAGAGCAGCUGAUGUUGGAAAUGACUGAAAUGGGGGCCCAAAGCAACUCAACCAUCACAAGACUCCCCACUCAAGGUGAGCGCCAGUGUCCAACACACACGCCAAAAGACAAAAGGAAGAACUGUAAGCAUUUCACAAAACACAGGGGGAAAACAGGGUGAAAUGCCUGAUCGUCUGCCCAAAAUGCCAGUUCGUUUUUUAUUUCCUGGCAGAGAGGAACUGCUUCAAAGACUAUCACGACAUACACAAGCAAGGAUGAAAGUGAAAUCUAAUUAACUACACCUUAGAAUUAAAACGAACGCGAAUGUCAUUUGUAAAUAGUUCAGGUUAUUUAUAUUUUAGCAAAGGAUACGUGUGUAACCAAUACAUUUGUAUAUAUAUAUUUUUAUGUAUAUCUGUUGCUUUAAAUUGUUUUUGUAAACAGCUGUGGGAACAAUACAUUGGAUAUGCCUAGGCUAAACGUUCAGGCACGUUGGAGAAGUUGAAAAAACACUUGGAUAUCCUCUGUAUGUCCCCCGAAACCGUCACAAUGUUUGAGAGAGGUUGAUGUUGUAGAAAUUUUGUUUUUAUAGUGAGCAAUAACUUUUAGGCACAUCCCAAGUGCAAAAACAGUGCAAUUACCAUACCUUUGGAGAGGUUGAAAGGACACUUGAAUGUACCCUGGAUACCCCAUAACACCACCACAAUGUUUGAGUGAGGUUGAUAUGGUAGAAAUUGUAUUUUUAUACUGAAAAAAUUGCAAUUCGGGAUUGCAAAUAUGUAAUAGCACUGGAAUGAUCUAAUUUACAGACAUGCCACUUCUGAGAGGUUUAGGGACACUUGGAAACCAGAAUAUACUUAACCACUUGACACACCACACAUCUGCUCAUUUCUAAUUGUUAGGUCUAUCAAUCCCAUUUUUUCUUCUGAUAUUGUUCACAUGUUGUGGAAGCCAUCUGAUGUGUUUCCAGCUCUAGUCAUCAAUAAUUCACUUAUAGCUUGUCAAUGAAAGAUGACUUUCACAAUAAAAAAUGUUUUAUUUUGCAUGUGAUUGAUCUUGUGUAUUCUGAACUAUGU
rnacentral:lncRNA from 13 species